rnacentral:rRNA from 1 species
CUGGCGGCGUGCUUAACACAUGCAAGUCGAACGGAAAGGCCCUGCUUUUGUGGGGUGCUCGAGUGGCGAACGGGUGAGUAACACGUGAGUAACCUGCCCUUGACUUUGGGAUAACUUCAGGAAACUGGGGCUAAUACCGGAUAGGAGCUCCUGCUGCAUGGUGGGGGUUGGAAAGUUUCGGCGGUUGGGGAUGGACUCGCGGCUUAUCAGCUUGUUGGUGGGGUAGUGGCUUACCAAGGCUUUGACGGGUAGCCGGCCUGAGAGGGUGACCGGCCACAUUGGGACUGAGAUACGGCCCAGACUCCUACGGGAGGCAGCAGUGGGGAAUAUUGCACAAUGGGCGGAAGCCUGAUGCAGCAACGCCGCGUGCGGGAUGACGGCCUUCGGGUUGUAAACCGCUUUCGCCUGUGACGAAGCGUGAGUGACGGUAAUGGGUAAAGAAGCACCGGCUAACUACGUGCCAGCAGCCGCGGUGAUACGUAGGGUGCGAGCGUUGUCCGGAUUUAUUGGGCGUAAAGGGCUCGUAGGUGGUUGAUCGCGUCGGAAGUGUAAUCUUGGGGCUUAACCCUGAGCGUGCUUUCGAUACGGGUUGACUUGAGGAAGGUAGGGGAGAAUGGAAUUCCUGGUGGAGCGGUGGAAUGCGCAGAUAUCAGGAGGAACACCAGUGGCGAAGGCGGUUCUCUGGGCCCUUCCUGACGCUGAGGAGCGAAAGCGUGGGGAGCGAACAGGCUUAGAUACCCUGGUAGUCCACGCUGUAAACGGUGGGUACUAGGUGUGGGGUCCAUUCCACGGGUUCCGUGCCGUAGCUAACGCUUUAAGUACCCCGCCUGGGGAGUACGGCCGCAAGGCUAAAACUCAAAGGAAUUGACGGGGCCCCGCACAAGCGGCGGAGCAUGCGGAUUAAUUCGAUGCAACGCGUAGAACCUUACCUGGGUUUGACAUGGAUCGGGAGUGCUCAGAGAUGGGUGUGCCUCUUUUGGGGUCGGUUCACAGGUGGUGCAUGGCUGUCGUCAGCUCGUGUCGUGAGAUGUUGGGUUAAGUCCCGCAACGAGCGCAACCCUUGUUCACUGUUGCCAGCACGUUAUGGUGGGGACUCAGUGGAGACCGCCGGGGUCAACUCGGAGGAAGGUGGGGAUGACGUCAAGUCAUCAUGCCCCUUAUGUCCAGGGCUUCACGCAUGCUACAAUGGCUGGUACAGAGAGUGGCGAGCCUGUGAGGGUGAGCGAAUCUCGGAAAGCCGGUCUCAGUUCGGAUUGGGGUCUGCAACUCGACCUCAUGAAGUCGGAGUCGCUAGUAAUCGCAGAUCAGCAACGCUGCGGUGAAUACGUUCCCGGGGCUUGUACACACCGCCCGUCAAGUCAUGAAAGUUGGUAACACCCGAAGCCGGUGGCCUAACCGUUGUGGGGGAGCCGUCGAAGGUGGGACUGGUGAUUAGGACUA